rnacentral:miRNA from 1 species
UGUUAACUGCGAGAAGCUGAUGG